AUUGAACGCUGGCGGCAGGCCUAACACAUGCAAGUCGAGCGAGCGGCGGACGGGUGAGUAAUGUCUGGGAAACUGCCUGAUGGAGGGGGAUAACUACUGGAAACGGUAGCUAAUACCGCAUACCAUCAGAUGUGCCCAGAUGGGAUUAGCUAGUAGGUGGGGUAACGGCUCACCUCGGCGACGAUCCCUAGCUGGUCUGCGGGGAUGACCCGCCACAUGGGAACUUAGACACGGGCCAGACUCCUACGGGAGGCAGCAGGGGGGAAUAUUGGACAAUGGGCGAAAGCCGGAUGCAGCCAUGCCGCGUGUGUGAAGAAGGCCUUCGGGUUGUAAAGCACUUUCAGCGGGGAGGCGUUACCCGCAGAAGAAGCACCGGCUAACUCCGUGCCAGCAGCCGCGGUAAUUC
rnacentral:rRNA from 1 species